UACGUAGGGGGCAAGCGUUGUCCGGAUUUAUUGGGCGUAAAGAGCGUGUAGGCGGCCAUGCAGGUCCGUUGUGAAAACUCGAGGCUCAACCUCGAGACGUCGAUGGAAACCGCAUGGCUAGAGUCCGGAAGAGGAGAGUGGAAUUCCUGGUGUAGCGGUGAAAUGCGCAGAUAUCAGGAAGAACACCCGUGGCGAAGGCGGCUCUCUGGGACGGUACUGACGCUGAGACGCGAAAGCGUGGGGAGCAAACAGG
rnacentral:rRNA from 1 species